rnacentral:lncRNA from 1 species
AGUCACGCACUCAGCUCUGCUCCAGGAAUGAUCAAUAUUGCACACUCUCUGAUUGGCUCCUUCUGAAGUCCCCUGAGCUGCCACCUAAACAAUGCCAGUGGGCAACCCAGGUCACCUGCACGACCCCAGCCCGGGGAGGGCCCCGGCGGCCCCGGUGGUCCCCCGGAGGUGAGCAGAGGGGAAGAGGGGCGCAUCUCAGAAUCACCGGAAGUGACUCGACUCUCCAGAGGUCGUGGUAGACCCAGGCUGCUCACUCCCAGCCCCACAACCGACCUCCACUCUGGACUCCAGAUGCGGAGGGCGAGGAGCCCCGACCUGUUCACCCCCCUCUCUCGCCCUCCCUCGCCUCUGAGCCUCCCCCGUCCCCGUUCUGCCCCUGCGCGGCGACCCCCUGCCCCCUCAGGAGACACAGCACCCCCUGCCCGACCUCACACCCCGUUGAGUCGCAUUGAUGUCCGACCUCCUCUGGAUUGGGGCCCCCAACGCCAGACCCUCUCCCGACCCCCUACUCCCCGCCGAGGACCUCCCUCUGAGGCUGGGGGAGGAAAGCCCCCCAGGAGUCCCCAGCACUGGAGUCAGGAGCCCAGAACACA